CGAAGAACCUUACCGGUCUUGACAUCCUCUGACAACUCUAGAGAUAGAGCGUUCCCCUUCGGGGGACAGAGUGACAGGUGGUGCAUGGUUGUCGUCAGCUCGUGUCGUGAGAUGUUGGGUUAAGUCCCGCAACGAGCGCAACCCUUGAUCUUAGUUGCCAGCAUUAAGUUGGGCACUCUAAGGUGACUGCCGGUGACAAACCGGAGGAAGGUGGGGAUGACGUCAAAUCAUCAUGCCCCUUAUGACCUGGGCUACACACGUGCUACAAUGGAUGGUACAAAGGGCUGCAAGACCGCGAGGUCAAGCCAAUCCCAUAAAACCAUUCUCAGUUCGGAUUGUAGGCUGCAACUCGCCUACAUGAUGUUGGAAUCGCUAGUAAUCGCGGAUCAGCAUGCCGCGGGUGAAUACGUUCCCGGGCCUUGUACACACCGCCCGU
rnacentral:rRNA from 2 species